UAGGGAAUAUUGGACAAUGGGCGAAAGCCUGAUCCAGCCAUGCCGCGUGAGUGAUGACGGCCUUCGGGUUGUAAAACUCUUUUCUGAGGGAAGAACAUCCUGCGUAGGAAAUGACGCAGGCCUGACGGUACCUCAGGAAUAAGCAACGGCUAACUCCGUGCCAGCAGCCGCGGUAAUACGGAGGUUGCAAGCGUUGUUCGGAAUUACUGGGCGUAAAGGGAGCGCAGGUGGUUAGGUAAGUCUGAAGUGAAAGUCCGGGGCUCAACCCCGGAAGUGCUUUGGAUACUGCCUAACUGGAGUACGUGAGAGGAGAGCGGAAUUCAGGGUGUAGCGGUGAAAUGCGUAGAUAUCCUGAGGAACACCGGUGGCGAAAGCGGCUCUCUGGCACGAAACUGACACUGAGGCUCGAAAGCGUGGGUAUCAAACGGG
rnacentral:rRNA from 1 species